UUAAGCGACUAAGCGUACACGGUGGAUGCCCUGGCAGUCAGAGGCGAUGAAGGACGUGCUAAUCUGCGAAAAGCGUCGGUAAGGUGAUAUGAACCGUUAUAGCCGGCGAUGUCCGAAUGGGGAAACCCAGUGCAAUUCGUUGCACUAUCGUUAACUGAAUACAUAGGUUAACGAGGCGAACCGGGGGAACUGAAACAUCUAAGUACCCCGAGGAAAAGAAAUCAACCGAGAUUCCCCCAGUAGCGGCGAGCGAACGGGGAGCAGCCCAGAGUCUGAAUCAGCUUGUGUGUUAGUGGAACGGUCUGGAAAGUCCGACGGUACAGGGUGAUAGUCCCGUACACCAAAAUGCACAGGUUGUGAACUCGAAGAGUAGGGCGGGACACGUGGUAUCCUGUCUGAAUAUGGGGGGACCAUCCUCCAAGGCUAAAUACUCCUGACUGACCGAUAGUGAACCAGUACCGUGAGGGAAAGGCGAAAAGAACCCCGGCGAGGGGAGUGAAAAAGAACCUGAAACCGUGUACGUACAAGCAGUGGGAGCACCUUCGGGUGUGACUGCGUACCUUUUGUAUAAUGGGUCAGCGACUUAUAUUCUGUAGCAAGGUUAACCGUAUAGGGGAGCCGCAGGGAAACCGAGUCUUAACUGGGCGUUAAGUUGCAGGGUAUAGACCCGAAACCCGGUGAUCUAGCCAUGGGCAGGUUGAAGGUUGGGUAACACUAACUGGAGGACCGAACCGACUAAUGUUGAAAAAUUAGCGGAUGACUUGUGGCUGGGGGUGAAAGGCCAAUCAAACCGGGAGAUAGCUGGUUCUCCCCGAAAGCUAUUUAGGUAGCGCCUCGUGAACUCAUCUUCGGGGGUAGAGCACUGUUUCGGCUAGGGGGUCAUCCCGACUUACCAACCCGAUGCAAACUACGAAUACCGAAGAAUGUUAUCACGGGAGACACACGGCGGGUGCUAACGUCCGUCGUGAAGAGGGAAACAACCCAGACCGCCAGCUAAGGUCCCAAAGUCAUGGUUAAGUGGGAAACGAUGUGGGAAGGCACAGACAGCCAGGAUGUUGGCUUAGAAGCAGCCAUCAUUUAAAGAAAGCGUAAUAGCUCACUGGUCGAGUCGGCCUGCGCGGAAGAUGUAACGGGGCUAAACCAUGCACCGAAGCUGCGGCAGCGACACUAUGUGUUGUUGGGUAGGGGAGCGUUCUGUAAGCCUGCGAAGGUGUGCUGUGAGGCAUGCUGGAGGUAUCAGAAGUGCGAAUGCUGACAUAAGUAACGAUAAAGCGGGUGAAAAGCCCGCUCGCCGGAAGACCAAGGGUUCCUGUCCAACGUUAAUCGGGGCAGGGUGAGUCGACCCCUAAGGCGAGGCCGAAAGGCGUAGUCGAUGGGAAACAGGUUAAUAUUCCUGUACUUGGUGUUACUGCGAAGGGGGGACGGAGAAGGCUAUGUUAGCCGGGCGACGGUUGUCCCGGUUUAAGCAUGUAGGCUGGUUAUCCAGGCAAAUCCGGAUAAUCAAGGCUGAGGUGUGAUGACGAGGCACUACGGUGCUGAAGUAACAAAUGCCCUGCUUCCAGGAAAAGCCUCUAAGCAUCAGGUAACAUCAAAUCGUACCCCAAACCGACACAGGUGGUCAGGUAGAGAAUACCAAGGCGCUUGAGAGAACUCGGGUGAAGGAACUAGGCAAAAUGGUGCCGUAACUUCGGGAGAAGGCACGCUGGUGUGUAGGUGAAGUCCCUGCGGAUGGAGCUGAGACCAGUCGAAGAUACCAGCUGGCUGCAACUGUUUAUUAAAAACACAGCACUGUGCAAACACGAAAGUGGACGUAUACGGUGUGACGCCUGCCCGGUGCCGGAAGGUUAAUUGAUGGGGUUAUCCGUAAGGAGAAGCUCUUGAUCGAAGCCCCGGUAAACGGCGGCCGUAACUAUAACGGUCCUAAGGUAGCGAAAUUCCUUGUCGGGUAAGUUCCGACCUGCACGAAUGGCGUAAUGAUGGCCAGGCUGUCUCCACCCGAGACUCAGUGAAAUUGAACUCGCUGUGAAGAUGCAGUGUACCCGCGGCAAGACGGAAAGACCCCGUGAACCUUUACUAUAGCUUGACACUGAACAUUGAGCCUUGAUGUGUAGGAUAGGUGGGAGGCUUUGAAGCGUGGACGCCAGUCUGCGUGGAGCCAACCUUGAAAUACCACCCUUUAAUGUUUGAUGUUCUAACGUUGGCCCCUGACCGGGGUUGCGGACAGUGUCUGGUGGGUAGUUUGACUGGGGCGGUCUCCUCCCAAAGCGUAACGGAGGAGCACGAAGGUUAGCUAAUCCUGGUCGGACAUCAGGAGGUUAGUGCAAUGGCAUAAGCUAGCUUGACUGCGAGCGUGACGGCGCGAGCAGGUGCGAAAGCAGGUCAUAGUGAUCCGGUGGUUCUGAAUGGAAGGGCCAUCGCUCAACGGAUAAAAGGUACUCCGGGGAUAACAGGCUGAUACCGCCCAAGAGUUCAUAUCGACGGCGGUGUUUGGCACCUCGAUGUCGGCUCAUCACAUCCUGGGGCUGAAGUAGGUCCCAAGGGUAUGGCUGUUCGCCAUUUAAAGUGGUACGCGAGCUGGGUUUAGAACGUCGUGAGACAGUUCGGUCCCUAUCUGCCGUGGGCGCUGGAGAAUUGAGGGGGGCUGCUCCUAGUACGAGAGGACCGGAGUGGACGCAUCACUGGUGUUCGGGUUGUCAUGCCAAUGGCACUGCCCGGUAGCUAAAUGCGGAAGAGAUAAGUGCUGAAAGCAUCUAAGCACGAAACUUGCCCCGAGAUGAGUUCUCCCUGAGACUUUAAGUCUCCUGAAGGAACGUUAAAGACGAUGACGUUGAUAGGCCGGGUGUGUAAGCGCAGCGAUGCGUUGAGCUAACCGGUACUAAUGAACCGUGAGGCUUAACCUU
rnacentral:rRNA from 2 species